GUAUGCACUUGUAUUUAUUAGUAUCGUUUUAUCCCUAAUCAAGGCUUCAGAAAUGCGGUUAAAGCUAGUAAAUUUCGUAUUUACUGUAUUUUUAUUAACGCUGAUCUAUGUUGUUUUUCAUCGUUGCCCUUUUAGUGUACAUAAAGAUUUAUUGAAUAAUUCUCACUUUAAUGAAAGAUCAUUUCCAGUUUUUAACAUUGCACUGGUUGUAUGUGGUCAGAGAUUGCAAGAGUCUCUUACCAUGCUCAAAUCGGUUCUCCUUUUUAGCCAGUUUAGUAGCGGUAAUUUACAUUUCUGGAUUUUCGCCGAGAGUUUGCUAAUGGGUGAACUGAAAGAUCGAUUAAAUAAUUGGCGAAAUUUUGUACACUUUGGUUUCGAGGUAAUGCCGUUGACUUUUCCCAGCCACAACCAAAAGGAAUGGCGAACUCUAUUUAAGCCUUGCUCGUCUCAGCGGUUAUUUUUGCCGAUUUAAUAAAGCUGGAUUGCCCCUGAAGAUGCUAAAAAUGUUUUAGCGAAACGUUGGGCCAGAAAGUGGAAUAAUGUAGUUUUAUUCGCAUUAAAAACAUAGAUCAGACUAGCCUGGUAACAUAAUAUUUAAUAUAAGUCAGUUAAUUUGGUAUUCAAACCUCUAACGUUUUGGAUAGCAAAUACUUAAAGUUGACGUGCGAGUUAGUUUUUUGAAUCAGAAUUAAUACUAGAGAUUUUAGCUAAGUUGUUAUUACUUUUAUUAGGUUUAUACUCAAACUCGCGACAAUGAAUUGAUUUGAAUGAAUGAGUCGCCAAAAUGAAUUAUUUAGUAGUGAAUUAAAAUCUUCGGCAGCUACAUCAAUUUUAAAAGAUGAAAUAUCGCGAUCGUAUUUAAAAUUAAAUUUACGAAUAAAUACAUCUUUAGUUUUAAUUUUAGUCGAUAUGUACGCCUUAUAUCGUCAGAAGAAGUGUCUUUAGCAAAUCUAGAGACAAAGAUUGAUCUUCUCGGUGGAAUUACAACCAAAUUUUUGGUAGUGAUUUCAGAUAUGCGGGAUUCCGAGCUGUUCGGAGGACUUAUGUUAGACAGUGCAGCUUCAGAUGUAGAUGGCAACACUGUUUAAUCGACGGUUUAAUUGUCGACAAUAUUUUUAGACACAGACCUAGUGGACAUGGCCUUAGAUAGCGGAGGAUCCAAUGCCUGAGGGCAUGGAGAAGAAAGAUUAAUUAGUUCCAAGGACUGAGAUGGAGGAUUUUUCUGAAUUCCCUUGUCGAAGCAGUUUCUAUGUGCAGAUUAUCUGGAGAUUAUGAAAAUGAGGAUAUAAUGGCGCUAGCGAAUUACUACAAGAGCAAAGAAGAGCCUGACAAAGCAUCCCACUAUGCUUACAAAUGUCUACUUAAAAAAAUUUGUUGUUUUUUUUCAAAUUUUGGCGGAAACUUGUUAUGUUAAGACAAACAGUUCCACGAAUACAAUCGUCAUAGCUCAUCAGCUAAUGAUAUAUAUAAAUGGAGUUGAGUCAUUCUGCCAAUCGGAUUUGAAAGUGUCCAAGAGCGCCGGGAAUCUGUGGAGAUAGCACAACAAGCACUACUAGUCUAAUUUCCAAAUAUUUGAAGCUUAAUUAUCAAAUUUAUUAUAAAUUAUUUCGAUAGUUUCUCAUA